GACGAACGCUGGCGGCGUGCUUAACACAUGCAAGUCGAACGGAAAGGCCCUGCUUUUGUGGGGUUCUCGAGGGGCGAACGGGUGAGUAACACGUGAGUAACCUGCCCUUGACUUUGGGAUAACUUCAGGAAACUGGGGCUAAUACCGGAUAGGAGCUCCCGCUGCGUGGAGGGGGUUGGAAAGUUUCGGCGGUUGGGGAUGGACUCGCGGCUUAUCAGCUUGUUGGUGGGGUAGUGGCUUACCAAGGCUUUGACGGGUAGCCGGCCUGGGAGGGUGACCGGCCACAUUGGGCCUGCGAUACGGCCCAGUCGCCUACGGGGGACAGCGGUGGGAAGUAUUGCACAAUGGGCGGAAGCCGGAUGCAGCAGCGCCGCGUGCGGGAUGACGGCCUGCGGGUUGUAAACCGCUUUCGCCUGUGACGAAGCGUGAGUGACGGUAAUGGGUAAAGAAGCACCGGCUAACUACGUG
rnacentral:rRNA from 1 species